ensembl:lncRNA
GGGAUUAUACGUCAGGGGACACAGGUUAACUGGUCAGUGUAGUGGGAUUAUACGUCAGGCGACACAGGUUAAGUGGUCAGUCUGUGGGUUUAUAGAUGAGGGGAUACAGGUUAACUGGUCAGUGUAGUGGGAUUAUACGUCAGGCGACACAGGUUAACUGGUCAGUGUAGUGGGAUUAUACGUCAGGGCACACAGGUUAACUGGUCAGUGUAGUGGGAUUAUACGUCAGGCGACACAGGUUAACUGGUCAGUGUCGUGGGAUUAUAGAUGAGGGGAUACAGAUAAACUGGUCAGUGUAGUGGGAUUAUACAUCAGGGGACACAGGUUAACUGGUCAGUCUGUGGGCUUAUAGAUGAGGGGACACAGGUUAACUGGUCAGUGUAGUGGGAUUAUACGUCAGGGGACACAGGUUAACUGGUCAGUGUAGUGGGAUUAUAUGUCAGGCGACACAGGUUAACUGGUCAGUGUAGUGGGAUUAUACGUCAGGGGACACAACUGGUCAGUGUAGUGGGAUUAUACGUCAGGCGACACAGGUUAACUGGUCAGUCUGUGGGUUUAUAGAUGAGGGGAUACAGGUUAACUGGUCAGUGUAGUGGGAUUAUACGUCAGGGGACACAGGUUAACUGGUCAGUGAAGUGGGAUUAUAAAUCAGGGGACACAGGUUAUCUGGUCAGUGUAGUGGGAUUAUAGAUGAGGGGAUACAGAUAAACUGGUCAGUGUAGUGGGAUUAUACAUCAGGGGACACAGGUUAACUGGUCAGUCUGUGGGUUUAUAGAUGAGGGGACACAGGUUAACUGGUCAGUGUAGUGGGAUUAUACAUCAGGGGACACAGGUUAACUGGUCAGUGUAGUGGGAUUAUACGUCAGGGGACACAGGUUGACUGGUCGGUCUGUGGGUUUAUAGAUGAGGGGACACAGGUUAACUGGUCAGUGUAGUGGGAUUAUACGUCAGGGGACACAGGUUAACUGGUCAGUCUGUGGGAUUAUACGUCAGGGGACACAGGUUAACUGGUAAAUCUGUGGGAUUAUAGAUGAGGGGAUACAGAUAAACUGGUCAGUGUAGUGGGAUUAUACGUCAGGGGACACAGGUUAACAUGUCAGUGUAGUGGGAUUAUACGUCAGGGGACACAGGUUAACUGUUCAGUGUAGUGGGAUUAUAGAUGAGGGGAU